CCUACGGGAGGCAGCAGUGAGGAAUAUUGGUCAAUGGGCGCGAGCCUGAACCAGCCAAGUAGCGUGAAGGAUGACUGCCCUACGGGUUGUAAACUUCUUUUAUAAAGGAAUAACGUGAGGCACGUGUGCCUUUUUGUAUGUACUUUAUGAAUAAGGAUCGGCUAACUCCGUGCCAGCAGCCGCGGUAAUACGGAGGAUCCGAGCGUUAUCCGGAUUUAUUGGGUUUAAAGGGAGCGGAGAUGGGUUGUUAAGUCAGUUGUGAAAGUUUGCGGCGCAACCGUAAAAUUGCAAUUGAUACUGGCAGCCUUUAGUACAGUUGAGGUAGGCGGAAUUCGUGGUGUAGCGGGGAAAAGGUUA
rnacentral:rRNA from 1 species